rnacentral:misc_RNA from 1 species
GAUGAAGAACGUAGCGAAAUGCGAUAAGUAAUGUGAAUUGCAGAAUUCAGUGAAUCAUCGAAUCUUUGAACGCACAUUGCGCCCCUUGGUAUUCCGAGGGGCAUGUCUGUUCGAGCGUCAUUAUAACCCCUCAAGCUCAGCUUGGUGAUGGGGCCUGCUGCACUGGCAGCCCUUAAAAUCAGUGGCGGCGCCAUCUGGCUCUAAGCGUAGUAAUUCUUCUCGCUAUGGAGUCCUGGUGGAUGCUUGCCAUCAACCCCCAAUUUUUCUAUGGUUGACCUCGGAUCAGGUAGGGAUACCCGCUGAACUUAAGCAUAUCAAUAAGCGGAGGA